ACACAUGCAAGUCGAGGGGCAGCAUGGUCUUAGCUUGCUAAGGCCGAUGGCGACCGGCGCACGGGUGAGUAACACGUAUCCAACCUGCCGUCUACUCUUGGACAGCCUUCUGAAAGGAAGAUUAAUACAAGAUGGCAUCAUGAGUCCACAUGUUCACAUGAUUAAAGGUAUUCCGGUAGACGAUGGGGAUGCGUUCCAUUAGAUAGUAGGCGGGGUAACGGCCCACCUAGUCUUCGAUGGAUAGGGGUUCUGAGAGGAAGGUCCCCCACAUUGGAACUGAGACACGGUCCAAACUCCUACGGGAGGCAGCAGUGAGGAAUAUUGGUCAAUGGGCGAGAGCCUGAACCAGCCAAGUAGCGUGAAGGAUGACUGCCCUAUGGGUUGUAAACUUCUUUUAUAAAGGAAUAAAGUCGGGUAUGGAUACCCGUUUGCAUGUACUUUAUGAAUAAGGAUCGGCUAACUCCGUGCCAGCAGCCGCGGUAAUACGGAGGAUCCGAGCGUUAUCCGGAUUUAUUGGGUUUAAAGGGAGCGUAGAUGGAUGUUUAAGUCAGUUGUGAAAGUUUGCGGCUCAACCGUAAAAUUGCAGUUGAUACUGGAUAUCUUGAGUGCAGUUGAGGCAGGCGGAAUUCGUGGUGUAGCGGUGAAAUGCUUAGAUAUCACGAAGAACUCCGAUUGCGAAGGCAGUCUGCUAAGCUGCAACUGACAUUGAGGCUCGAAAGUGUGGGUAUCA
rnacentral:rRNA from 1 species